GACGAACGCUGGCGGCGGGCUUAACACAUGCAAGUCGAACGGAAAGGCCCUGCUUUUGUGGGGUGAUCGAGUGGCGAACGGGUGAGUAACACGUGAGUAACCUGCUCUUGACUUUGGGAUAACUUCAGGAAACUGGGGCUAAUACCGGAUAGGAGCUCCUGCUGCAUGGUGGGGGUUGGAAAGUCUCGGCGGUUGGGGAUGGACGCGCGGCUGAUCAGCUUGUUGGUGGGGUAGUGGCUUACCAAGGCUUUGACGGGUAGCCGGCCUGGGAGGGUGACCGGGCACAUUGGUACUAAGGUACGGACCAGACUCCUACGGGAGGCAGCAGUGGGGAAUAUUGCACAAUGGGCGGAAGUCUGAUGCAGCAACGCCGCGUGCGGGAUGACGGCCUUCGGGUUGUAAACCGCUUUCGCCUGUGACGAAGCGUGAGUGACGGUAAUGGGUAAAGAAGCACCGGCUAACUACGUG
rnacentral:rRNA from 1 species